GAAGGUCACGGCGAGACGAGCUGUCA
rnacentral:rRNA from 1 species